UACGAACGCUGGCGGCAGGCUUAUCACAUGCAAGUCGAACGGGUGUAGCAAUACAUCAGUGGCAGACGGGUGAGUAACACGUGGGAACCUUCCUAGGGGUACGGAACAACUCAGGGAAACUUGAGCUAAUACCGUAUACGUCCGUGAGGAGAAAGAUUUAUCGCCCUUAGACGGGUCCGCGUCGGAUUAGCUAGUUGGUGGGGUAACGGCCUACCAAGGCGACGAUCCGUAGCUGAUCUUAGAGGAUGAUCAGCCACACUGGGACUGAGACACGGCCCAGACUCCUACGGGAGGCAGCAGUGGGGAAUCUUGGACAAUGGGCGCAAGCCUGAUCCAGCCAUGCCGCGUGAGUGAAGAAGGUCUUCGGAUUGUAAAGCUCUUUUGCCAGGGACGAUAAUGACGGU
rnacentral:rRNA from 1 species